GAUGAACGCUGGCGGCGUGCCUAAUACAUGCAAGUCGAGCGAACAGAUGAGGAGCUUGCUCCUCUGACGUUAGCGGCGGACGGGUGAGUAACACGUGGAUAACCUACCUAUAAGACUGGGAUAACUUCGGGAAACCGUAGCUAAUACCGGAUAAUAUAUUGAACCGCAUGGUUCAAUAGUGAAAGACGGUUUUGCUGUCACUUAUAGAUGGAUCCGCGCCGCAUUAGCUAGUUGGUAAGGUAACGGCUUACCAAGGCAACGAUGCGUAGCCGACCUGAGAGGGUGAUCGGCCACACUGGAACUGAGACACGGUCCAGACUCCUACGGGAGGAAGCAGUAGGGAAUCUUCCGCAAUGGGCGAAAGCCUGACGGAGCAACGCCGCGUGAGUGAUGAAGGUCUUCGGAUCGUAAAACUCUGUUAUUAGGGAAGAACAAAUGUGUAAGUAACUAUGCACGUCUUGACGGUACCUAAUCAGAAAGCCACGGCUAACUACGUG
rnacentral:rRNA from 1 species